rnacentral:rRNA from 1 species
GAUGAACGCUGGCGGCGUGCCUAAUACAUGCAAGUCGAGCGAACAGACGAGGAGCUUGCUCCUCUGACGUUAGCGGCGGACGGGUGAGUAACACGUGGAUAACCUACCUAUAAGACUGGGAUAACUUCGGGAAACCGGAGCUAAUACCGGAUAAUAUAUUGAACCGCAUGGUUCAAUAGUGAAAGACGGUUUUGCUGUCACUUAUAGAUGGAUCCGCGCCGCAUUAGCUAGUUGGUAAGUUAACGGCUUACCAAGGCAACGAUGCGUAUCCGACCUGAGAGGGUGAUCGGCCACACUGGAACUGAGACACGGUCCAGACUCCUACGGGAGGCAGCAGUAGGGAAUCUUCCGCAAUGGGCGAAAGCCUGACGGAGCAACGCCGCGUGAGUGAUGAAGGUCUUCGGAUCGUAAAACUCUGUUAUUAGGGAAGAACAAAUGUGUAAGUAACUAUGCACGUCUUGACGGUACCUAAUCAGAAAGCCACGGCUAACUACGUG